rnacentral:rRNA from 1 species
CUCAUGGUCGAGAGGGAAACAGCCCAGAGCAUCGACUAAGGCCCCKUAAGCGUACGCUAAGUGGGAAAGGAUGUGGAGUCGCAGAGACAACCAGGAGGUUGGCUUAGAAGCAGCCACCCUUGAAAGAGUGCGUAAUAGCUCACUGGUCUAGUGAUUCCGCGCCGACAAUGUAGCGGGGCUCAAGCGUACCGCCGAAGUCGUGUCAUUCAUGCAACAGCCCCAACGCGUGUAUGGAUGGGUAGGGGAGCGUCGUGUGCCGGGUGAAGCUGCAGCGGAAGCUAGUGGUGGACGGUUCACGAGUGAGAAUGCAGGCAUGAGUAGCGAUACACACGUGAGAAACGUGUGCGCCGAUUGACUAAGGGUUCCUGGGUCAAGCUGAUCUGCCCAGGGUAAGUCGGGACCUAAGGCGAGGCCGACAGGCGUAGUCGAUGGAUAACCGGUUGAUAUUCCGGUACCCGCUGUGAAGCGUCAAACAUCGAGCAUCGUGAUGCUAAGGCCGUGAAGCCGUUCCGGACCCUUCGGGGAAUGGAAAGUGGUGGAGCCGCCGGCCCAAGCGGUUAGUAGGUGAGUGAUGGGGUGACGCAGGAAGGUAGUCCAUCCCGGGCGGUGGUUGUCCCGGGGUAAGGGUGUAGGACGUGGUCCAGGUAAAUCCGGAUCACACAUAGUCUGAGACCUGAUGCCGAGCCGAUUGUGGUGAAGUGGAUGAUCCUAUGCUGUCGAGAAAAGCCUCUAGCGAGUUUCAUGGCGGCCCGUACCCUAAACCGACUCAGGUGGUCAGGUAGAGAAUACCGAGGCGUUCGGGUGAACUAUGGUUAAGGAACUCGGCAAAAUGCCCCCGUAACUUCGGGAGAAGGGGGGCCAUCACUGGUGAGGAGACUUGCUCUCCGAGCUGGGGGUGGCCGCAGAGACCAGCGAGAAGCGACUGUUUACUAAAAACACAGGUCCGUGCGAAGCCGUAAGGCGAUGUAUACGGACUGACGCCUGCCCGGUGCUGGAACGUUAAGGGGACCGGUUAGUCASUCUUCGGGGUGGCGAAGCUUGAAAAACUUAAA